GUGGGGAAUCUUGCGCAAUGGGCGAAAGCCUGACGCAGCCAUGCCGCGUGAAUGAUGAAGGUCUUAGGAUUGUAAAAUUCUUUCACCGGGGACGAUAAUGACGGUACCCGGAGAAGAAGCUCCGGCUAACUUCGUGCCAGCAGCCGCGGUAAUACGAAGGGGGCUAGCGUUGCUCGGAAUUACUGGGCGUAAAGGGCGCGUAGGCGGACAGCUUAGUCAGAGGUGAAAGCCCAGGGCUCAAGCUUGGAAUUGCCUUUGAUACUGGCUGUCUUGAGUUUGGGAGAGGUGAGUGGAACUCCGAGUGUAGAGGUGAAAUUCGUAGAUAUUCGGAAGAACACCAGUGGCGAAGGCGACUCACUGGCCCAAUACUGACGCUGAGGCGCGAAAGCGUGGGGAGCAAACAGGAUUAGAUACCCGGGUAGUCC
rnacentral:rRNA from 1 species